UUUGUAUUCCCUCCGUUUGGAAAUACUUGUCAUCAAAAUGGAUAAAAAAAAUGUAUCUAGAGGUAUUUUAGUUUUAGAUACAUUCGAUUUUAUCCGUUUUAAUGAGAAGUAUUUUCGGACGGAGGAAGUACUAA
rfam:Triticum aestivum genome assembly, contig: Triticum_aestivum_CS42_TGACv1_scaffold_221074_3B